CUGACUUUUGCCCUGCUGGUGUGAACAUUUGCAAAGUGUUCAAAGUUACCUACAAUGACCUCCUGAGUGAAUAUGGAUCAAAGAACAGUGUCCUGUCGGCCUUGGUGAUAAAGGACCCCUCAGUAGAGAAGACUGUUGUGAGAUCUUUGAUCAGCGAGAUUACGACAAAUGAUAAUGACGCUAUACCUAAGAAAGACGAGAGAAGGAGUGGAUGCUUUCAGUUCCUUCCAAAUAUGAAGAAGAUUAAGUCUUGCCUGAAGAGAAACAAGUCAGGCAGCCAAAGAAAUGCCAACGCAGAUGGAGCCACAGCAAUCAGCAUCACUGACAAUAUUGCCGUUUCCCCAGAGUCCUUUGCCUGUUCGGUCUCAUUGGAUGAGGAGCCAUGUGUCCCCAUUGGCUCACCUGAGAAGAGACGCUCUCUCUUCACCCGCAUCAGAUCUUUCUUUAAGAGGAGGUCUUCUGCGGUCUCG